rnacentral:rRNA from 1 species
CCUACGGGCGGCUGCAGUGAGGAAUAUUGGUCAAUGGGCGAGAGCCUGAACCAGCCAAGUCGCGUGAAGGAUGAAGGAUCUAUGGUUUGUAAACUUCUUUUAUAUGGGAAUAAAGUGUGGAACGUGUUCCUUUUUGUAUGUACCAUAUGAAUAAGCAUCGGCUAACUCCGUGCCAGCAGCCGCGGUAAUACGGAGGAUGCGAGCGUUAUCCGGAUUUAUUGGGUUUAAAGGGUGCGUAGGUGGACAAUUAAGUCAGUGGUGAAAGUUUGUGGCUCAACCAUAAAAUUGCCGUUGAAACUGGUUGACUUGAGUAUAGAUGAGGUAGGCGGAAUGCGUGGUGUAGCGGUGAAAUGCAUAGAUAUCACGUAGAACUCCGAUUGCGAAGGCAGCUUACUAAACUAUAACUGACGCUGAUGCACGAAAGCGUGGGUAUCAAACAGGAUUAGAUACCCGAGUAGUC